rnacentral:rRNA from 1 species
AUGCACCACUUUUUCGUUGCUUGCCCCUUCUCGCGCCAGGUAUGGCACGAGGUCCUCUCCUGGUGUCGUUUGACUACCACGAUCCCGAGUCCGGAUACACCAUUCGCGGAAUGCUGGAUUGCUGCUUGCUCUUCAUCACCCGCAACCCUACGUAAAGGGGCUCAACCCCAUCAUAGCCCUCACUUCAUGGGUGAUUUGGAGGCACCGGAACGGAUGCAUCUUCGAUCAACUAAAGCCCUCCACUGCGGGACUACUUCAGUCCAUUCAAGAAGACGCUAUUCAUCACCCGCAACCCUACGUAAAGGGGCUCAACCCCAUCAUAGCCCUCACUUCAUGGGUGAUUUGGAGGCACCGGAACGGAUGCAUCUUCGAUCAACUAAAGCCCUCCACUGCGGGACUCACUACUAG